rnacentral:rRNA from 1 species
CCGUGAACCUUUACUAUAGCUUGACACUGAACAUUGAGCCUUGAUGUGUAGGAUAGGUGGGAGGCUUUGAAGCGUGGACGCCAGUCUGCGUGGAGCCGACCUUGAAAUACCACCCUUUAAUGUUUGAUGUUCUAACGUGGACCCGUAAUCCGGGUUGCGGACAGUGUCUGGUGGGUAGUUUGACUGGGGCGGUCUCCUCCUAAAGAGUAACGGAGGAGCACGAAGGUUGGCUAAUCCUGGUCGGACAUCAGGAGGUUAGUGCAAUGGCAUAAGCCAGCUUGACUGCGAGCGUGACGGCGCGAGCAGGUGCGAAAGCAGGUCAUAGUGAUCCGGUGGUUCUGAAUGGAAGGGCCAUCGCUCAACGGAUAAAAGGUACUCCGGGGAUAACAGGCUGAUACCGCCCAAGAGUUCAUAUCGACGGCGGUGUUUGGCACCUCGAUGUCGGCUCAUCACAUCCUGGGGCUGAAGUAGGUCCCAAGGGUAUGGCUGUUCGCCAUUUAAAGUGGUACGCGAGCUGGGUUUAGAACGUCGUGAGACAGUUCGGUCCCUAUCUGCCGUGGGCGCUGGAGAACUGAGGGGGGCUGCUCCUAGUACGAGAGGACCGGAGUGGACGCAUCACUGGUGUUCGGGUUGUCAUGCCAAUGGCACU